rnacentral:piRNA from 2 species
CACAGAAGUCCAUCUAUUACAUCACUG